CUUUGAGGGUCAUCGAUCAUCAAGACGAUGUCUGAUGAGUCCCAUAAUCCAUCAGUGACAUCUAGAGUAUGUAGUGACAAUCUAGUAGAAUGAAAGUAUAAAUCACAAGGUGUAGUUAUCAUAUGAUUCAGUCCUUGUAUUGUGAAUCUCGAUUUGACAGAGAUCAUGGAGAACUCGUCAGACCCCAUCGUCAGUCAUAUGCU
rnacentral:lncRNA from 1 species